rnacentral:rRNA from 1 species
GUAGGGAAUAUUGGGCAAUGGUCGGAAGACUGACCCAGCCAUGCCGCGUGCAGGAAGACGGCCCUCUGGGUUGUAAACUGCUUUUAUCUGGGAAGAAAAAGGCCAUGCGUGGCAAAUUGCCGGUACCAGAUGAAUAAGCACCGGCUAACUCCGUGCCAGCAGCCGCGGUAAUACGGAGGGUGCGAGCGUUGUCAGGAUUUAUUGGGUUUAAAGGGUGCGUAGGCGGCUGAUUAAGUCAGCGGUGAAAGACUUCGGCUUAACCGGAGCAGUGCCGUUGAUACUGGUUGGCUUGAGUGUCGGAGGGGUACAUGGAAUUGAUGGUGUAGCGGUGAAAUGCAUAGAUAACAUCCGGAACACCGAUAGCGAAGGCAUUGUACUGGCCGACAACUGACGCUGAUGCACGAAAGUGUGGGGAUCGAACAGGAUUAGAUACCCGGGUAGUCC